rnacentral:rRNA from 1 species
AUAUCAAUAAGCGGAGGAAAAGAAACUAACAAGGAUUCCCCUAGUAACUGCGAGUGAAGCGGGAAAAGCUCAAAUUUAAAAUCUGGUAGUCCUUUGUCGCAUGCCCGAGUUGUAAUCUUAGAGAAGCAGUCUAUCCGCGCUGGACCGUGCACAAGUCUCCUGGAACGGAGCGUCAUAGAGGGUGAGAAUCCCGUCUUUGGCACGGACACACCAGGGCUUUUGUGAUGCGCUCUCGAAGAGUCGAGUUGUUUGGGAAUGCAGCUCAAAAUGGGUGGUGAACUCCAUCUAAAGCUAAAUAUUGGCGAGAGACCGAUAGCGAACAAGUACCGUGAGGGAAAGAUGAAAAGCACUUUGGAAAGAGAGUGAAACAGUAC